GACGAACGCUGGCGGCGUGCUUAACACAUGCAAGUCGAACGGGAUUUAGUAAACGGAAGCCUCGGUGGAAGAUUACUAAUGAGAGUGGCGAACGGGUGAGUAACGCGUGAGCAACCUGCCUAUGGCAGUGGGAUAGCCUCGGGAAACCGGGAUUAAUACCGCAUAAAAUCGUAGAAACACAUGUUUCAACGGUCAAAGAUUUAUCGGUCAUAGAUGGGCUCGCGUCUGAUUAGCUAGUUGGUGAGAUAACAGCCCACCAAGGCGACGAUCAGUAGCCGGUCUGAGAGGAUGAACGGCCACAGUGGAACUGAGACACGGUCCAAACUCCUACGGGAGGCAGCAGUGGGGAAUAUUGCACAAUGGGGGAAACCCUGAUGCAGCGACGCCGCGUGAACGAAGAAGGUAUUCGUAUCGUAAAGUUCUGUCCUAUGGGAAGAUAAUGACAGUACCAUAGAAGAAAGCUCCGGCUAAAUACGUG
rnacentral:rRNA from 1 species